rnacentral:tRNA from 1 species
GGGGUUGUGGCUCAGAGGUACAGCGCUCACCUACCACGUGUGAGGUCCUGGGUUCGAUCCUCAGCACCACA